ensembl:misc_RNA 7SK 7SK RNA
GGAUGUGAGGGCGAUCUGGCUGCGGCAUCUGAUCUGGCUGGCUAGGAGGGUGUCCCCUUCCUCCCUCACCCCUCCAUGUGCUAGUGUCCCUCCCGAAGCUGUGCACUCGGUGGAAGAGGACGACCUUCCCGGAAUAGAAGAGGUCUUUGGUCAAGGGUAUAUGAGUAGCUGUGCUUCCCUGCUAGAACCUCCAAACAAGCUCUCAAGAAAUAAGACCCAGUCUCUGGUCCUCUGUUAUAGGUACACAAGAAGGACUAAGUGACCAUGGCAACUAGAAUAUGCAGAGGUCCCUAUAAGUAAACAGUGGCACCACAGAAACCCAAGGAUGAACCUUCU